rnacentral:rRNA from 1 species
GGCGAACGGGUGAGUAACACGUGGGUGAUCUGCCCUGCACUUCGGGAUAAGCCUGGGAAACUGGGUCUAAUACCGGAUAGGAGCCAUCUUUAGUGUGAUGGUUGGAAAGUUUUUCGGUGUAGGAUGAGCUCGCGGCCUAUCAGCUUGUUGGUGGGGUAAUGGCCUACCAAGGCGGCGACGGGUAGCCGGCCUGAGAGGGUGGACGGCCACAUUGGGACUGAGAUACGGUCCAG